GACGGGGGGGGCAAGUGUUCUUCGGAAUGACUGGGCGUAAAGGGCACGUAGGCGGUGAAUCGGGUUGAAAGUGAAAGUCGCCAAAAAGUGGCGGAAUGCUCUCGAAACCAAUUCACUUGAGUGAGACAGAGGAGAGUGGAAUUUCGUGUGUAGGGGUGAAAUGCGUAGAUAUCUGAAGGAACAUCAGUGGCGAAAGCGACUUCCUGGACCAAUACUGACGCUCAGGUGCGAAAGCGUGGGGAGCAAACAGG
rnacentral:rRNA from 1 species